GGUCCCCUGACCUUGCAACACUUCAUCAGUGAUGUAUUUGGGGACAGUGUCAUCUAUUUGGGUGACAUACGUCUCUUUUUGGAGAACCCAGAGCAGCACAUGCAGCACAUCCAAACCUGGAGAAGUUUCGGCAGCAUGGUCUCAACACAGAUUUGGAAAAGCGGAACCUCCAGCCAACUCUCCACAGAGUCUUGGGGAUACAUCCUCUCCCCAGAAGAUGUUACCAUUGAUGCAAAUAAGGUGGAAGCCAUUCAUAAAUGGGGCAAAGUUGGAAGUCCUCAAGAAGUGCAGCGCUUCCUAGACUUCACUCAUCCUGUGAAAUCGAGACGUGCUGGCUCUCAGUGAUGCUUAGACGGAAAACCACGCAACCCACACAGAGGAUGGAACCAGCCACUUCCCGGUUGUCAUAAGGAGCCAUGAUUUCUCCAGGAGCUGGGUAAAGGGCACAGGGAUCAGCCUCUCAAAGGAUUCCAACCGGCUGUUCCAAUCCAGGAGGAAAACUGUGCCACCGAAAUCUCCCAGCACCUGUGCAGUGAAGUGCCACUUUAACCUGAUGUGAUGCACAGACCUUGCCCUGGCUGUCUGCACAGGGCUGAAUUUCACCCCGUCAGAGUGAUUCCAACCGGCUGUUCCAAUCCAGGAGGAAAACUGUGCCACCGAAAUCUCCCAGCACCUGUGCAGUGAAGUGCCACUUUAACCUGAUGUGAUGCACAGACCUUGCCCUGGCUGUCUGCACAGGGCUGAAUUUCACCCCGUCAGAGUGUAUUCUAAGGGCCCCCGGUGCAUCAUAUGGGCAUUCUUGGGGGUGCAGAUGGCAUCAGACCUGCACCUGAAUAAAUAAUAGGGAAUGAAAUAUGCAGACACUAAAGUUCUGCAGCCAACUUCUCAGAAACCUUCGUCUUCCAUGUAGGAUCAGGAUUUUGGUUUGAAUUGAUUUUUUUUUUAAAAGUGCUAAGCAGAUGCUACACUGUAAGAAGAGGAAAGAGAAUCAAAAACUGAAAGAUUGUUACUAAAACCAAUGAACAGCUGCAGAGAGUGGAGACCCGGCAAA